rnacentral:rRNA from 1 species
AUUGAACGCUGGCGGCAGGCCUAACACAUGCAAGUCGAGCGGAUGAAGGGAGCUUGCUCCUAGAUUCAGCGGCGGACGGGUGAGUAAUGCCUAGGAAUCUGCCUGGUAGUGGGGGAUAACGUCCGGAAACGGGCGCUAAUACCGCAUACGUCCUGAGGGAGAAAGUGGGGGAUCUUCGGACCUCACGCUAUCAGAUGAGCCUAGGUCGGAUUAGCUAGUUGGUGGGGUAAAGGCCUACCAAGGCGACGAUCCGUAACUGGUCUGAGGGGAUGAUCAGUCACACUGGAACUGAGACACGGUCCAGACUCCUACGGGAGGCAGCAGUGGGGAAUAUUGGACAAUGGGCGAAAGCCUGAUCCAGCCAUGCCGCGUGUGUGAAGAAGGUCUUCGGAUUGUAAAGCACUUUAAGUUGGGAGGAAGGGCAGUAAGUUAAUACCUUGCUGUUUUGACGUUACCAACAGAAUAAGCACCGGCUAACUUCGUG